UACGGAGGGUGCAAGCGUUGUUCGGAUUUAUUGGGCGUAAAGGGCGUGUAGGCGGUUCGUUAAGUCUGAUGUGAAAGCCCCGGGCUCAACCCGGGAAGUGCAUUGGAAACUGGCGAACUUGAGUACGGGAGAGGGCAGUGGAAUUCCUAGUGUAGGAGUGAAAUCCGUAGAUAUCAGGAGGAACACCGGUGGCGAAGGCGGUGGUCUGGGCCGGAACUGACGCUGAGGAGCGAAAGCGUGGGGAGCGAACAGG
rnacentral:rRNA from 1 species